rnacentral:rRNA from 1 species
UACGGAGGGGGUUAGCGUUGUUCGGAAUUACUGGGCGUAAAGCGCGCGUAGGCGGAUUAGAAAGUUGGGGGUGAAAUCCCGGGGCUCAACCUCGGAACUGCCUCCAAAACUGCUAGUCUAGAGUUCGAGAGAGGUGAGUGGAAUUCCGAGUGUAGAGGUGAAAUUCGUAGAUAUUCGGAGGAACACCAGUGGCGAAGGCGGCUCACUGGCUCGAUACUGACGCUGAGGUGCGAAAGCGUGGGGAGCAAACAGG